rnacentral:rRNA from 1 species
GAUUCGUCACACUAUCAUUAACUGAAUCCAUAGGUUAAUGAGGCGAACCGGGGGAACUGAAACAUCUAAGUACCCCGAGGAAAAGAAAUCAACCGAGAUUCCCCCAGUAGCGGCGAGCGAACGGGGAGGAGCCCAGAGCCUGAAUCAGCAUGUGUGUUAGUGGAAGCGUCUGGAAAGGCGCGCGAUACAGGGUGACAGCCCCGUACACAAAAGCGCAUGUGCUGUGAGCUCGAUGAGUAGGGCGGGACACGUGGUAUCCUGUCUGAAUAUGGGGGGACCAUCCUCCAAGGCUAAAUACUCCUGACUGACCGAUAGUGAACCAGUACCGUGAGGGAAAGGCGAAAAGAACCCCGGCGAGGGGAGUGAAAAAGAACCUGAAACCGUGUACGU